rnacentral:rRNA from 1 species
UCGCACGAGAAAGCGGGGGCAACUCCGCGAGUAAAGUGGCGAACGGGUGAGUAACACGUGACUAACCUGCCCUUGAGUGGGGGAUAACUCCGGGAAACCGGGGCUAAUACCGCAAUUCGAUAUCGCGAGGUGAAAUUCCUUGUGAUCAAAGACGCAAGUCGCUCAAGGAGGGGGUCGCGGCUGAUUAGCUUGUUGGCGGGGUAACGGCCCACCAAGGCGAUGAUCAGUAUCCGGCCUGAGAGGGCGCUCGGACACACUGGAACUGAAACACGGUCCAGACUCCUACGGGAGGCAGCAGUGGGGAAUUUUGCGCAAUGGGGGAAACCCUGACGCAGCAACGCCGCGUGGAGGAUGAAGGUCUUUGGAUUGUAAACUCCUUUCGACCGGGACGAUGAUGACGGUACCGGGGGAAGAAGCACCGGCUAACUCUGUGCCAGCAGCCGCGGUAAUACAGAGGGUGCAAGCGUUGUUCGGAUUUAUUGGGCGUAAAGGGUGCGUAGGCGGUUUGGCAAGUCUUAUGUGAAAUCUUCGGGCUCAACCCGAAGCCUGCAUAAGAAACUGCCGGGCUUGAGUAUGGGAGAGGUGAGUGGAAUUUCCGGUGUAGCGGUGAAAUGCGUAGAUAUCGGAAGGAACACCUGUGGCGAAAGCGGCUCACUGGACCAUAACUGACGCUGAUGCACGAAAGCUAGGGGAGCAAACAGGAUUAGAUACCCUGGUAGUCCUAGCCCUAAACGAUGAUUGCUUUGGUGUGGC